rnacentral:rRNA from 1 species
GAUGAACGCUGGCGGCGUGCCUAAUACAUGCAAGUCGAGCGAACGGACGAGAAGCUUGCUUCUCUGAUGUUAGCGGCGGACGGGUGAGUAACACGUGGAUAACCUACCUAUAAGACUGGGAUAACUUCGGGAAACCGUAGCUAAUACCGGAUAAUAUUUUGAACCGCAUGGUUCAAAAGUGAAAGACGGUCUUGCUGUCACUUAUAGAUGGAUCCGCGCUGCAUUAGCUAGUUGGUAAGGUAACGGCUUACCAAGGCAACGAUGCAUAGCCGACCUGAGAGGGUGAUCGGCCACACUGGAACUGAGACACGGUCCAGACUCCUACGGGAGGCAGCAGUUGGGAAUCUUCCGCAAUGGGCGAAAGCCUGACGGAGCAACGCCGCGUGAGUGAUGAAGGUCUUCGGAUCGUAAAACUCUGUUAUUAGGGAAGAACAUAUGUGUAAGUAACUGUGCACAUCUUGACGGUACCUAAUCAGAAAGCCACGGCUAACUACGUG